AUCCCCCAGUGGCACAAUGGGUCAAUGCGCCUAGCUCUUAACCAGAAAGUUGGUGGUUCGAGCCCAUCCAGGGAUG